AUAUAUCUUUCCUUCAGAGCAAGAUGAAUUGUUUCAAUUUUGCUACUUUUCAGGUCUGCUAUUAAAUCAGGUUUUUGUGAAAGAUUAUUUCAUAAUAUGCCAUUUUCAUUCUUUGAUUAUCGUUUUACUUGUAUUUUGGGUUGUAUUUUCUGAGUUUUACCUGAAGUUUCUUGAUUCUAAAAAGACAAAAAUUCAAUUCGAUUAUUCUAUUUUUAGGUAGAUUAGAUUGGUUGCUUGGGGUGUAAUGGAAGAAAAUGACAAAAUUAUUUUUUCUUAUUUCUACUUAGAUUGUAGAAACUUUAAAAUUAAGUAUUACUUUAUGUUGGAGGUGGUAAUUGAAGAAGACCCAAUUCGUUCACUUAUGUUAAUUUUUUUGGACGUAACUGAAAUUUUGUUGGCUUCUUGGUUCAUGUUGUCCCCAAAUCUCACUUUAUGUGAUUAAAUAGGACAUGUUGUUGUAAUCAUAGAUUUGAUAAUUGAAUGCCUCUAAUACAGGAUAUUGAAACAUGAAAAUGGAUUUGGAAAAUAACUUGGUAAUAGUAAUUGAAACAAUCGAUGUGAAAUCCUUGGCAGAAUCACUGAGAUAUCACUUGAAGAAAGACGUUAAAAUUUUAACCGUGAAUGACUAGGCUUUGUUUAGACUAUUUGUAUCAUGCUACAGAGGUGUUCGGUGAUGAAAAUUCAAAUGCUAGCAGUGUUCUGUGAACAAUUCUGGUAAGUGCUUAGAAACUUUUCUAGAAGUAUUAGUGUAAGUAAUUACAAAUACUCAAAUGGUUGAUUGCUUAUAUUAGCAAAAUUAAUGCAUUGUAUAUGUUUAGAUGUAAUGUGGGAUUUUUGUUAUUUGUUUUGUAUGACUAAAAGGCAUACUUGUUAAGUACUUAGAAGGUUUUGAACUUUGAUUCUAAUUGAGUAUUAGAUGUCUGGGGCUAUUUUGCUAAUUUUCAUUGAGGAGAAAGGAAACAGUCUCUUUAUACUGCAAAUUAGAAAUAAGGUUUGCAUGUAUUUUUAUCUUUUUUGGACUUCACUUGUGUAAUCAUUAAAAGACAUUGAGUACUGAAGCCUGUAAUUGACAAAAGGCGUGCAAAUUUUCUUAUAGACAGUGGUACCGUAUAAGGCCUGCUUGUAAAGUACUUCUAUAGAAGGUUCUAAACUUUGAUUCCAACUGUAUAUUACAUGUGGUCUAUUUUACUUGUUGAAAUUGAGAAGAAUUAGGAAACAACCUUUCUAUCCUGCAAAGUAAGAAUAAGGUUCGCAUAUAUUUUAUCCUUUGUAAAUUUCACUUGUGAAAUCAUAGUGCAAAUGGCGGAGAUAUCUUUCUUUUUGCUCAUCUUUGUAAACCUAAUUCCAAUUAUAAAGUUAAAAUCUUUUUCAUUUUUUCUUGAAUUUUAUUUAUUUUCCUGUAAUUUGGUUUCUUUUUGGGGGUUUUUAAAUUAAGACUGAUUUCAAGAAUAUAUUAAGGAAGGAUCUUUGUAUUCUUUGUAAAUUCUCUGUAUACUUAUUAUACCCUUCCAGUUAUGUUGUUUAUGUUGAUUUAUUAUUUAUAGUGUGGAUUUGGAUAUUGUCUAAUGUUCGCAAAUCUCUAAUUUUAGUUUGAAUGUGUUUAUGGAUUGCUAAGCUUUAUUAUUUAGUAAUUUUUUGAUGCGGUCUUACCAUUUGCAGUAAAAUCCUAUUGAAAUUAACUAUGCCACGAAUCAGACUACUAAGGAAUCAUAGAGAGAUUCAACUGAAGCAAGAAGAGAAAUAGCUAAGCUACUAGAGACUAGUCAGGAAGCUACUACUGGAAUUCGGAGAGAAUGAUGGCAGCAUAGUAGAUAGCCGAGCUAUUCUGUCAGCUAAUACAUGUUCCGUCUUCCAAGUACUGAAGCACAAAGUUUGGGGAGACUGCUAACUGAGCUGAAAGUUGACAAGAGUAGCAAAGAUUGAAUUUUGUGAGGGGGAAUGAGCUGAGUUCUCCUCAUUCCAACUGAUCAGGGUUACUGCUUGCUUGAUGGUUUUGGAAGUGUUACUUUUGAUUGGUUGCAUUGGCCAUAAGCUCAUCAGUCAGUCAUUCAGCCAUUGAGUAUAGAGAAAAUCACUUGAUGUGAGAAAAACAUUGAUUUGUUGAAGUUGCACGCGCACUCCACAUCUCUACAAUACUUUUGAAGAAAGGUGUAGGGAGGGGUCUCACGCCAUUAACCAUAACAAACAUCACGUGUCGAGAAACCUUGAACAAUGAAUCUUUGACCGAGGAGAUUGUUCAAGAAACACUGGACUUCGUACUUCCUAGAUCCAAGUAAAGAUACAUUCCUUGAGACCAUCUAACAUGUCACAUAUCACCGCCUUGACGAAGUUGCCUGUUAACAUUGACAUAUAGGUGUACAUAGGAUGAGAGUCUGCAGAUACCUUUCGUCUGAAUGCAUUAACUUCGAAAGAAUAUCCUGAUUUAUUAUUUUCAAUUGAUUUUCGCAGUUAACUGGAAAUGACUAGCUAGGUUGUGACCAAGUUUGUCAGUUGUCAAAAACUGUUAAGUUUGUUUGUUGUUCAUCUUUCUAUGUUGGAUUAACUUAAGAGUAACAAUAGCCUUUUCCUCAAAUAAUAUUUUAUGUUAUGAGUAUUAA